GACAGAGGUGCCGAGCGUUAGGCGGAAUCACUGGGCUUAAAGCGUGUGUAGGCGGAUUUGUAAGUACCUUGUGAAAUCCCACGGCUCAACCGUGGAACUGCUUGGUAUACUGCUUAUCUUGAGCCACUUAGGGGCAGUCGGAACAGACGGUGGAGCGGUGAAAUGCGUAGAUAUCGGGAGGAACACCUGUGGCGAAAGCGGCUCACUGGACCACAACUGACGCUGAGGCGCGAAAGCUAGGGGAGCAAACAGG
rnacentral:rRNA from 1 species